rnacentral:rRNA from 1 species
AGUGAACGCUGGCGGUAGGCCUAACACAUGCAAGUCGAACGGCAGCACAGUAAGAGCUUGCUCUUACGGGUGGCGAGUGGCGGACGGGUGAGGAAUACAUCGGAAUCUACUUUUUCGUGGGGGAUAACGUAGGGAAACUUACGCUAAUACCGCAUACGACCUACGGGUGAAAGCAGGGGAUCUUCGGACCUUGCGCGAUUGAAUGAGCCGAUGUCGGAGUAGCUAGUUGGCGGGGUAAAGGCCCACCAAGGCGACGAUCCGUAGCUGGUCUGAGAGGAUGAUCAGCCACACUGGAACUGAGACACGGUCCAGACUCCUACGGGAGGCAGCAGUGGGGAAUAUUGGACCAUGGGCGCAAGCCUGAUCCAGCCAUACCGCGUGGGUGAAGAAGGCCUUCGGGUUGUAAAGCCCUUUUGUUGGGAAAGAAAAGCAGCAGGUUAAUACCCCGCUGUUCUGACGGUACCCAAAGAAUAAGCACCGGCUAACUUCGUG